rnacentral:rRNA from 1 species
UUUUAUGAGAGUUUGAUCCUGGCUCAGGACGAACGCUGGCGGCGUGCCUAAUACAUGCAAGUCGUACGCUUCUUUUUCCACCGGAGCUUGCUCCACCGGAAAAAGAGGAGUGGCGAACGGGUGAGUAACACGUGGGUAACCUGCCCAUCAGAAGGGGAUAACACUUGGAAACAGGUGCUAAUACCGUAUAACAAUCGAAA